ensembl:lncRNA
GCGAUCACGGAGAUAGGUUGGUCCUGAGCCAUAUAGAAUAGAAUUGCACCUUGAAUUGGGACUGGUAGCUUAUCGGCAGCCAGUGGAGCUAUUUUGACAGUGUUGUAGUAUGCUUCGUGUAAUUGGCUCCAGUUAGGAGCCUGGCUGCCGAACUCUGAACCAACUGGAGUUUCCGGGCCAUCUUCAAGGGCAGCCCCACGUAGAGAGCAUUACAGUAAUCCUAUCUGGAUGUAACUAGGACGUGGACCACCUUGGCAAUGUAAGACUUCUUGAGAUAUGGUCACAGCUGGUGCACAAAUUUUACUUGUGUAAAGGCCCUCCCGGCCACCGCUGCCACCUGAGCAUCAAGUGACAACGAUGAGUCCAAGAGGAUCCCCAAGCUGCGGACCUGCGCCUUCAGGGGGAAUGUUACCCUGUUGAGCACAAGUUGCCACCCAAUGUCCCGUUCGGUGCCACGACUGACCAGGAGGACCUCCGUCUUGUCUGGAUUGAGCUUCAACUUGUUAGCCCUCAUCCAGUCCAUCACAGCUGUCAGGCACUGGUUCAUGGUCUGAGAGGCUUCCUUUGGAAUUCAGUGGAAAGGAGAAAUAAUCCGCAUAGAGGUGGCACCAAACUCCAAAUUUUAAAGUACUAAAAGACAAUUUAAGCACUGUACAAAUGAAAAGAGGCUUUAAUUAAGAGUUACAUUUUUUACUUAUUGUCAGAAUGAAGCCAGUAUUGGUACCAAAAAGCUGUCCACAACUAAGGUGCCAAAAUGGAAAGGGCCCUCUCAUGUGCUCCCAUGAAGUAUUGCUCCCUUGUUAGGCCACAGAGGAGGAGUAAUCCAGCUGAUCUAAAUUGCAGGAGAUCCUGCGUUAGUCUGCUGGAGCGAAAACAACAAAGAAACUACACCUGGAAAAUGAACAAAAGAACAUCUGGUGGAAUAUGGGAGAAGAUGAUCUCAUUGUUGCUCUAAGGUUCUGGACCUCCUUUCCCAGAACCUUCUGAUUAUCUUUCUUCAAGCAGGUAAAACCCUUUUUAUUCCAACAAGCCUUUUUUUAGGGGAGACCAAUCUUGCAUAAUUAAGAAAACCACAACAAAAGAAAUAAAAGUCCAGCACAAUCUUGCAUAAUGUGCUGGACUUUUAUUUCUUUUGUUGUGGUUUUCUUAAUUUGUUUGAACUGGUAAAGGUAAAGGCAAACCCUCUCUGAACAAAUAUUGCCAAAAAACCCCAUGAUAGGUUGGCCUUAGGUUUGCCAUAGGUCAGAAAUGACUUGAAGUCACAAAAACAGAAUUGAAUUUUAACUUUUAUAUUCCAGUAAUUUUAAUUAUGUUUGUUUUAACUGUUUUAAGCCAUCCCAAAUUGGAAAUAUAACAGAAACAAGAACAUGAGCAACACUAACAUAUCCAACACCACCAACACCGUUUUUCUCUUGAAAAAAGAGCAGUCAACGCAAAAGAUACUUGUAUUCAGCAAAAUUAGCCUAAGCUGUCCACCUGUCUGCAAUGUUGGUCAAUAAAUCCAAACAGGAAACAUUCCAGUCCUGUUUGCUUAGGGGAUUUUUCCUUUAAAAAAGAUUCACAUAGGUUAGUUGCAACAGGCCGCCCCUCCAGUCUGAAAUGGAACAAGCUAAGCAAGUACAUUUCCAUGCAGACAGCCAUACUCAUGGGUAGAGUGUGGUCAGCUGACCUCCAAAGGGCAAGACGGAGGUCAGCUGUCUGGUGCAGAGGAUUACAUUUGCAACAUAGAUAAGAUAUAAUAGCAAGAAAUAUAUUAAUGUAUCAAUGCUGUGUAUCAUAUAUGCCUACAAAGCACUUGUGUAAUAUGCCAUCCCAGCAAUGGAGGAAGUACUUACCAGAUUCCAAUAAUUUGGAGACAAUGGGCUUGAAACUGAUAUAUACAACUUAUAUAGAAUUAUACUUCAUAUGCAGCAUAGAACAGGUUUUUGUGGGGUAGAGGCUUCCAUUCCAUUCACUGCAAAGUUUAGAAAAAUUCAACUGAAGACUGAAGUCUUGCUUUCUGAGACCACAGCAAAUACAAGUUAACAUAGAAAUGUGUAUUUCUAUUUUAACUUUUAUAUCAAGUUACAUUGUUUUAAAGUUUAUUUAUUUUUAACAUUAAAUAAAACAAGCUCAACCCACAACAAGGAAAUGUAAGAGGGGCAAAUACCCAACAAGAGAGUUGUGAUCCUGAGUAGGAAACACAACUAGGCAGUCUCCAGUUCAUGUCAAAGACUGGUUCAUAAAUGUAUGCAUCAUUUGCAUUUCUUGCCACUUCUUUACUUAAAUCUCACCAUAGAAUUUUGAAUGUCUGUAGUAGGCUGGUUUAUACACACAACUUGUGAAGUGUUGCUAUGAUUAUCAAGUGCUCAAUGUCCACAUGUCUUUAAUAUAAAGGUGGCAUUGAAGAGGCAUCAGAAGCCUACACCUGUACACCAGUGCCAUCCACCCCAGAACCAUAAAAUAGUUAAUCUUUAUUGAAUGCUUUUGGUAUCUGCUGGUGUUUGAUCAGGACUCCAGUGGUACCAAAAUCAAUGGAUAAUUAAGUCCCAUUGUAUACGAUGGUGCGGCAAAAUGGCAACCUUUAUCAAAGUUUGCUUUUUUGUAAUUAAGUUUUUUUUUCUUCAUGGUGUGGAUAGUUGAAUCCAUGGAUACAGAAUUCAUGCAUAUGGUGGACCGAAUGUAAAUAUAUUGACUUAAUAUUAUUUGUUAAAAUAAUGAUGAGCGGCCAUUAAAGGGAAAAAAACCCACAUAUCUUUAACUGUCCUGAUUUGGCAGAGACAAUCUUGGGGCCCAUCCAGACAUGACCCAAAACGGAAGAGCUCUCAUGCUUUUACCAAAGGCAUCCAAACGACACCUCUGGUAAAAGUGAAUUAAUUUGAGACAAAGCAGGAAAACACAAAUUGAAAUGUUUUUUGAAGCAAUGCUUAAGAGAAGAUAUAUUCCACAUACAUUCUUUAUAUCCUAAACUCAGAAAUUCCUUAUAUAUCUAGCCAAAUGAAAUACUUACCACUUCAUCACUUGGGGCCUUUUUAGCAUCCCUGCCAGUCUAGCAAUGGAUGGGCACAUUACUCAUCACACAACAUUGCUGGACUUCCAGUGGAAUGGAAGUGUUGUAUAAUUCUUCCCUUGUAACAUGGAAGGCUCCAAUGGAGACAGCACAGAACCAGAACAAAUCUGUACGGCUUUGGCAAUGCUUCCCCGUGUGAAGGGGAAAGCAGCACCCAAGGAGGCAGCGCACAUAGUGAUAGUGUCAACCCUCAUCCCAGGGUUAGCGAAAUGGUACCAGGGAUGCGGGGUUCUCCUAUGUGAGGAAGUCUGCCUCAUCUAUGUAUAGGCACAUGUGUUCGGUUUCCUUCAAACUCUUACUUUCUUUCCAGCAG